GACUGGCGGGGGGACGGCAGAAGAAGAGCACUGACCAGCACCGCAGUGAGGCCCCCGUGUUCGCACCGGGGGACCGGGUCUGGCCCUCGACCAGAAACCUGCCCCUCCGCCUGCCCUGCCAGAAGCUGGGGCCGCAGUGUGUGGGGCCAUUUAAAGUCCUGAGGAGGAUAAACGAGGUGUGUUACAGGUUACAACUUCCUACUUAUUAUCGUAUUAACCCCUCGUUUCAUGUGUCUCUCCUCAGGCCGGUGGUGGCUGGUCCCCUUCAAGAAGGUGAGGUGCCUGAGGUCCCUCCGCCCCCUCUGGACAUCGAGUCAAUGGACAUAGCGAGUCAUAAGCUCAAGAUUUGGCUUUCUUUACUUGGCUACAGAGUAUUCAGGAGCCUUGGGAAAACGUGGCAGCUGGAGCAGAGCAGGGAGUGGAUCAGUCACACAGGUACAGCAGCCAUGGGGUAG
rnacentral:lncRNA from 1 species